rnacentral:rRNA from 1 species
UACGGAGGAUGCGAGCGUUAUCCGGAUUUAUUGGGUUUAAAGGGUGCGUAGGCGGGCUGUUAAGUCAGCGGUCAAAUGUCGGGGCUCAACCCCGGCCUGCCGUUGAAACUGGCGGCCUCGAGUGGGCGAGAAGUAUGCGGAAUGCGUGGUGUAGCGGUGAAAUGCAUAGAUAUCACGCAGAACUCCGAUUGCGAAGGCAGCUUACCAGUCUGCGACUGACGCUCAGGCACGAAAGUGUGGGUAUCGAACAGG